rnacentral:rRNA from 1 species
CAGCCCCUCGAGUGGUGGGGAUGAUUAUUGGGCCUAAAGCGUCCGUAGCCUGCCGUGUAAGUUUCCCGUUAAAUCCAGCGUCUUAAGCGUUGGACCGCGGGAAAUACUGUACGGCUAGAGAGUGGGAGAGGUCAGCGGUAUUCUGGGGGUAGGGGCGAAAUCCUUUGAUCCCCGGAGGACCACCAGUGGCGAAGGCUGCUGACUAGAACACGUCUGACGGUCAGGGACGAAAGCUGGGGUAGCGAACCGGAUUAGAUACCCGAGUAGUCC